rnacentral:lncRNA from 1 species
CCUAAUCUAUAAACCAAUUCAAUGCCGAAAAAUCCUCACGUUUAUACAAAAUAAUAGUAUCAUCUCAUUUCUAUCUCUACUUAAUCAAUAAACCUCUCGAUCUUUUGCAUUGCUCUACUUAAUCGAUCAAUAAACCUCUCUUUCGCAAAUCCUAUCUUGUUUGAGAAAAUUAAUUUUUCAUAUUAUUUUUGGAGCCAGAGCUUAAUCAGAAAAUUGUUGUUAAACCAUGUCUGCCACAAGAUUAUUCGUAUCGCAUAGCUCAAGUAGUCUGAUCUCAUUGGCAGCUCAUCCGAGAUUUAGACCCUCUUUACUUGAUCAAAACAGGAUUAGUUUAAGUUCAUCAGCUUCUUCAUCCAAUUUUAAGCAACUUUUAACUUGUGAUUAUUUAUCAUUUUCAGACGACAUCAACAGCAUACCUCAAAGGAAAACUCUCAAGUACGUACGUGCAUAUAUCUAUCUCCCCAAUUUUGCAUGCAUACGCAUCACAAGUCUCUUUUUAUCUUUAUGAAUUUGAUUUUGCUAGCUAGUACUACUGAAUUAAUUCUAACGUUACGAUUCAAUACAUGUAGGAAUUUUGUUGUCUACAACAGUAUUCAACCUGGAAUUCCAAUUCCAUCUNNNNNNNNNNNNNNNNNNN